rnacentral:rRNA from 1 species
UGGGGAAUAUUGCACAAUGGGCGCAAGCCUGAUGCAGCCAUGCCGCGUGUAUGAAGAAGGCCUUCGGGUUGUAAAGUACUUUCAGUCGGGAGGAAGGUGUCAAGGUUAAUAACCUUGGCAAUUGACGUUACCGACAGAAGAAGCACCGGCUAACUCCGUGCCAGCAGCCGCGGUAAUACGGAGGGUGCAAGCGUUAAUCGGAAUUACUGGGCGUAAAGCGCACGCAGGCGGUUGAUUGAGUCAGAUGUGAAAUCCCCGGGCUUAACCCGGGAAUUGCAUCUGAUACUGGUCAGCUAGAGUCUUGUAGAGGGGGGUAGAAUUCCAUGUGUAGCGGUGAAAUGCGUAGAGAUGUGGAGGAAUACCGGUGGCGAAGGCGGCCCCCUGGACAAAGACUGACGCUUAGGUGCGAAAGCGUGGGGAGCAAACAGG